rnacentral:rRNA from 1 species
AGUGAACGCUGGCGGUAGGCCUAACACAUGCACGUCGAACGGCAGCACAGGAGAGCUUGCUCUCUGGGUGGCGAGUGGCGGACGGGUGAGGAAUACAUCGGAAUCUACCUUGUCGUGGGGGAUAACGUAGGGAAACUUACGCUAAUACCGCAUACGACCUUCGGGUGAAAGUGGGGGACCGCAAGGCCUCACGCGAUUAGAUGAGCCGAUGUCGGAUUAGCUAGUUGGCGGGGUAAAAGACCACCAAGGCGACGAUCCGUAGCUGGUCUGAGAGGAUGAUCAGCCACACUGGAACUGAGACACGGUCCAGACUCCUACGGGAGGCAGCAGUGGGGAAUAUUGGACAAUGGGCGCAAGCCUGAUCCAGCCAUACCGCGUGGGUGAAGAAGGCCUUCGGGUUGUAAAGCCCUUUUGUUAGGAAAGAAAUCUUGCCGGUUAAUACCUGGCGAGGAUGACGGUACCCAAAGAAUAAGCACCGGCUAACUUCGUGCCAGCCGCCGCCGUAAUAC